UACGAAGGGUGCUAGCGUUGUUCGGAAUUACUGGGCGUAAAGCGCGCGUAGGCGGAUUGGCAAGUUGGGGGUGAAAUCCCGGGGCUCAACCCCGGAACUGCCUCCAAAACUUCCAGUCUUGAGUCCGAGAGAGGUGAGUGGAAUUCCGAGUGUAGAGGUGAAAUUCGUAGAUAUUCGGAGGAACACCAGUGGCGAAGGCGGCUCACUGGCUCGGUACUGACGCUGAGGUGCGAAAGCGUGGGGAGCAAACAGG
rnacentral:rRNA from 1 species